rnacentral:rRNA from 1 species
CAGGGUUUAGUUUACUAGAUUGCUGACGACCGGCGCACGGGUGAGUAACGCGUAUACAAUUUGCCUUUUACUGGAGGAUAGCCCAGAGAAAUUUGGAUUAAUACUCCAUAGUAUUAUUUGGUCACCUGAUCGAGUAAUUAAAGUUCCGGCGGUAAAAGAUGAGUAUGCGUCCUAUUAGCUAGAUGGUAAGGUAACGGCUUACCAUGGCGACGAUAGGUAGGGGUCCUGAGAGGGAGAUCCCCCACACUGGUACUGAGACACGGACCAGACUCCUACGGGAGGCAGCAGUGAGGAAUAUUGGGCAAUGGAGGCAACUCUGACCCAGCCAUGCCGCGUGCAGGAAGACUGCCCUAUGGGUUGUAAACUGCUUUUAUACAGGAAGAAACUUAUCCACGUGUGGAUAACUGACGGUACUGUAAGAAUAAGGACCGGCUAACUCCGUGCCAGCAGCCGCGGUAAUACGGAGGGUCCAAGCGUUAUCCGGAAUCAUUGGGUUUAAAGGGUCCGUAGGCGGGCAAUUAAGUCAGAGGUGAAAUCCCACAGCUCAACUGUGGAACUGCCUUUGAUACUGGUUGUCUUGAGUUAUAGUGAAGUAGAUAGAAUAUGUAGUGUAGCGGUGAAAUGCAUAGAUAUUACAUAGAAUACCGAUUGCGAAGGCAGUCUACUAACUGUAUACUGACGCUAAUGGACG